rnacentral:piRNA from 1 species
UAAAAUAGGCAAAGGUUUCCAUUCAGUGA